ACAAAAGUCGUCAAAAUAGGUGCAAUUUGGGUACCUUCACCAAACUCGGAAACAGUGGUGACAUCUGGCUACGCUUCUUUACAGUAUGACCCGAACGAUAACGCUGUAUGAUGUCAAAGUUGUGCAUUCACGUCACAUGAUUUGUAUUUAGGGUCAACCGCAAAAAAAAACAAACAAACAUAAACGAUCAUAAAGAGGUUAGAUGUACCCACGGGUG
rnacentral:lncRNA from 1 species